AUGCUUGCUUCGGCGGCACAUACACUAAAAUUGGAAUCAUACAGGAUUAGCAUGGCCCCUGCACAAGGGUGACACACAAAAUUAUGAAGCAAAAAAUGUCAUA
rfam:Tupaia chinensis contig17504, whole genome shotgun sequence.